UACGUAGGGUGCGAGCGUUAAUCGGAAUUACUGGGCGUAAAGCGUGCGCAGGCGGUUCGUUGUGUCGGCGGUGAAAGCCCCGGGCUUAACCUGGGAAUGGCCGUUGAAACUGGCGAACUGGAGUGUGGCAGAGGGGGGUGGAAUUCCGCGUGUAGCAGUGAAAUGCGUAGAGACCCGGAGGAACACCAGUGGCGAAGGCGGCUUCCUGGUCUGCGACUGACGCUGUGGCGCGAAAGCUAGGGGAGCAAACGGG
rnacentral:rRNA from 1 species